AAGUAGAGGCGACCUAACAAUAUAACCAGAGAUGCACGGAUCUCACUCCGCCUCUGUCCAGCGAAGCCUGGAGUUGCUAACAGGAAAAUCCCACUGGAGACCCCUGAGACCGUGGGCCCUGCCACUGGCCGAGGAGGAGCCGGAUGUGUAAAGAGCCACACUGCGAGACAACGAGAGCAGGAGAACCCCCCCGCCAGGACUGACAGGCGGAGGCCUCCAGAGGUGGGUGUCAC